rnacentral:rRNA from 1 species
GUGAGCUGGCGGCGUGCUAAUACACCCAGGUUGAAAGAAUCGAUGGGAGCUUGCUCCCUGAGAUUAGCGGCGGACGGGUGAGUAACACGUGGGCAACCUGCCUAUAAGACUGGGAUAACUUCGGGAAACCGGAGCUAAUACCGGAUACGUUCUUUUCUCGCAUGAGAGAAGAUGGAAAGACGGUUUACGCUGUCACUUAUAGAUGGGCCCGCGGCGCAUUAGCUAGUUGGUGAGGUAAUGGCUCACCAAGGCGACGAUGCGUAGCCGACCUGAGAGGGUGAUCGGCCACACUGGGACUGAGACACGGCCCAGACUCCUACGGGAGGCAGCAGUAGGGAAUCUUCCGCAAUGGACGAAAGUCUGACGGAGCAACGCCGCGUGAACGAAGAAGGCCUUCGGGUCGUAAAGUUCUGUUGUUAGGGAAGAACAAGUACCAGAGUAACUGCUGGUACCUUGACGGUACCUAACCAGAAAGCCACGGCUAACU